GGAAUCGCUAGUAAUCGCGGAUCAGCACGCCGCGGUGAAUACGUUCCCGGGCCUUGUACACACCGCCCGUCACACCAUGGAAGUCUGCAAUGCCCGAAGCCGGUGGCCUAACCACUUAUGUGGAAGGAGCCGUCUAAGGCAGGGCAGAUGACUGGGGGUGAAGUCGUAACAAGGUACC
rnacentral:rRNA from 1 species